ACACACAUAUACACGCACACACACAUACACACGCAUGCACACAUGCACACUCACACACACAUAUACACGCACACACACAUACACAUGCAUGCACACAUGCACACACAUACACACACGCUCCUUGUCCCUGACACUUGUUUUUGUGACCUAUCCAGAAGGUGUUGUGAGGUUCCAUCAUCAGUUUCUUCAUGGUUCAUUGUCUUGGGGAGCAAUCACACUAGCCCUUUGUCGAAGAGAGUGUCUGAUUCUGCCGUGCCUGGAUAUCCCUAAGGCAGGCAGAUGGGGUUGCUACAGUGGGGUAGCUCGCCACACUGACUGUGAGAUCCUGUCUCUGGUCAGGGGUAGUCUGCCACCUAGGAAUGACAGGAUGUGGGGUCUUGCCAGGGUUACCAGGGGGUCUUCUCUGAGUCUGGGCCUGGGGACCACCGAUGUCUCUGGGACUUGAGUUCCACAAAGUAUGCAGCUGAGGCGCUCAGGACGUGCACUGCUGUGCGUCACUGGGUGUGUCUGCGGAGCACCAGAACAAAUUCAGGCUGGGCUUGCUGCCCUGCAGGUGUGGACUCACCCACUCAUGUCUGAGGUAUUGAAUGACACGGUGGAGGUAUGUGCUACCUGAGCAUCCUGCUGGUACCGCCUUAAGCCUUUCCGAGGGAAGGAGUGUGCAAGCCCGGGUGGAACUCUGGGUGUUCAACUGAGAUGAAACUCCAGCACUGACUUGGUUUCUGCCUCCCCUCCCUUCCCUCGAG
rnacentral:lncRNA from 1 species